GACGAACGCUGGCGGCGUGCUUAACACAUGCAAGUCGAACGGUAAGGCCCUUCGGGGUACACGAGUGGCGAACGGGUGAGUAACACGUGGGUGAUCUGCCCUGCACUUCGGGAUAAGCCUGGGAAACUGGGUCUAAUACCGGAUAGGACUCCGGACUGCAUGGUCGGGGGUGGAAAGCUUUUGCGGUGUGGGAUGGGCCCGCGGCCUAUCAGCUUGUUGGUGGGGUGAUGGCCUACCAAGGCGACGACGGGUAGCCGGCCUGAGAGGGUGACCGGCCACACUGGGACUGAGAUACGGCCCAGACUCCUACGGGAGGCAGCAAUGGGGAAUAUUGCACAAUGGGCGCAAGCCUGAUGCAGCGACGCCGCGUGAGGGAUGACGGCCUUCGGGUUGUAAACCUCUUUCAGCAUCGACGAAGCGAAGGUGACGGUAGGUGCAGAAGAAGGACCGGCCAACUACGUGCCAGCAGCCGCCGUAA
rnacentral:rRNA from 1 species